UACGGAGGAUCCAAGCGUUAUCCGGAUUCAUUGGGUUUAAAGGGUGCGUAGGCGGAAUGAUAAGUCAGUGGUGAAAUCUCGGAGCUUAACUCCGAAACUGCCAUUGAUACUGUCAAUCUUGAGUACAUUUGAUGUGGGCGGAAUGUGUCAUGUAGCGGUGAAAUGCUUAGAUAUGACACAGAACACCGAUUGCGAAGGCAGCUCACAAAACUGUAACUGACGCUGAGACGCGAAAGCGUGGGUAGCAAACAGG
rnacentral:rRNA from 1 species